rnacentral:rRNA from 1 species
GAUGAACGCUGGCGGCGUGCUUAACACAUGCAAGUCGAACGAUGAAGCCCAGCUUGCUGGGUGGAUUAGUGGCGAACGGGUGAGUAACACGUGAGUAACCUGCCCUUGACUCUGGGAUAAGCCCGGGAAACUGGGUCUAAUACCGGAUAGGAGCGCCUGUCUCAUGACGGGUGUUGGAAAGAUUUUUCGGUCAUGGAUGGACUCGCGGCCUAUCAGCUUGUUGGUGAGGUAAUGGCUCACCAAGGCGACGACGGGUAGCCGGCCUGAGAGGGUGACCGGCCACACUGGGACUGAGACACGGCCCAGACUCCUACGGGAGGCAGCAGUGGGGAAUAUUGCACAAUGGGCGGAAGCCUGAUGCAGCGACGCCGCGUGAGGGAUGACGGCCUUCGGGUUGUAAACCUCUUUCAGUAGGGAAGAAGCGAAAGUGACGGUACCUGCAGAAGAAGCACCGGCUAACUACGUG